rnacentral:rRNA from 1 species
GACGAACGCUGGCGGCGUGCUUAACACAUGCAAGUCGAACGGAAAGGCCCUGCUUUUGUGGGGUGCUCGAGUGGCGAACGGGUGAGUAACACGUGAGUAACCUGCCCUUGACUUUGGGAUAACUUCAGGAAACUGGGGCUAAUACCGGAUAGGAGCUCCUGCUGCAUGGGGGGGGUUGGAAAGUUUCGGCGGUUGGGGAUGGACUCGCGGCUUAUCAGCUUGUUUGUGGGGUAGUGGCUUACCAAGGCUUUGACGGGUAGCCGGCCUGAGAGGGUGACCGGCCACAUUGGGACUGAGAUACGGCCCAGACUCCUACGGGAGGCAGCAGUGGGGAAUAUUGCACAAUGGGCGGAAGCCUGAUGCAGCAACGCCGCGUGCGGGAUGACGGCCUUCGGGUUGUAAACCGCUUUCGCCUGUGACGAAGCGUGAGUGACGGUAAUGGGUAAAGAAGCACCGGCUAACUACGUG